rnacentral:rRNA from 1 species
GACGAACGCUGGCGGCGUGCUUAACACAUGCAAGUCGAACGGAAAGGCCUGCUUUCCCUUGUGGAUUGCGAGUACUCGAGUGGCGAACGGGUGAGUAACACGUGAGUGAUCUGCCCCCAACUUGGGUAUAAGCCUGGGAAACUGGGUCUAAUUCCCGAUAGGACUGCAGGGUGGUGCCUGUGGUGGAAAACGAUUUUCUAGUGGUUGGGGAUGAGCUCGCGGCCUAUCAGCUUGUUGGUGGGGUAAUGGCCUACCAAGGCGGCGACGGGUAGCCGGCCUGAGAGGAUGGACGGCCACAUUGGGACUGAGAUACGGCCCAGACUCCUACGGGAGGCAGCAGUGGGGAAUAUUGCACAAUGGGCGGAAGCCUGAUGCAGCGACGCCGCGUGGGGGAUGACGGCCUUCGGGUUGUAAACUCCUUUCGACCGCGAGGAAGCCACCUGGUUGGAAGGGUGGUGACGGUAGUGGUAGAAGAAGCACCGGCUAACUACGUG